GUAUACGAUGGACCCGCGUCUGAUUAGCUAGUUGGCGGGGUAGAGGCCCACCAAGGCGACGAUCAGUAGCCGGCCUGAGAGGGUGACCGGCCACAUUGGGACUGAGACACGGCCCAAACUCCUACGGGAGGCAGCAGUGGGGAAUAUUGCACAAUGGGGGGAACCCUGAUGCAGCGACGCCGCGUGAGUGAAGAAGUAUUUCGGUAUGUAAAGCUCUAUCAGCAGGGAAGAAAAUGACGGUACCUGACUAAGAAGCCCCGGCUAACUACGUGCCAGCGGCCGCGGUAAUACGUAGGGGGCAAGCGUUAUCCGGAUUUACUGGGUGUAAAGGGAGCGUAGACGGUUAUGCAAGUCUGAAGUGAAAGCCCAAGGCUCAACCAUGGGACUGCUUUGGAAACUGUAAAACUGGAGUGCAGGAGAGGUAAGCGGAAUUCCUAGUGUAGCGGUGAAAUGCGUAGAUAUUAGGAGGAACACCAGUGGCGAAGGCGGCUUACUGGACUGUAACUGACGUUGAGGCUCGAAGGCGUGGGGAGCAAACAGGAUUAGAUACCCUGGUAGUCCACGCGGUAAACGAUGAUCACUAGGUGUCGGUGGGUA
rnacentral:rRNA from 1 species